rnacentral:rRNA from 1 species
GCCAGACUCCUACGGGAGGCAGCAGUGGGGAAUAUUGCACAAUGGGGGAAACCCUGAUGCAGCAACGCCGCGUGAAGGAAGACGGUUUUCGGAUUGUAAACUUCUGUUCUUAGUGAAGAAGAAUGACGGUAGCUAAGGAGCAAGCCACGGCUAACUACGUGCCAGCAGCCGCGGUAAUACGUAUGGUGCAAGCGUUAUCCGGAUUUACUGGGUGUAAAGGGAGCGCAGGCGGCGCGUUAAGCCUGGUGUGAAAGCCCGCGGCCCAACCGCGGGACUGCAUUGGGAACUGGCGCGCUGGAGUGCCGGAGGGGUAGGCGGAAUUCCUAGUGUAGCGGUGAAAUGCGUAGAUAUUAGGAGGAACACCAGUGGCGAAGGCGGCCUACUGGACGGUGACUGACGCUGAGGCUCGAAAGCGUGGGGAGCAAACAGGAUUAGAUACCCGCGUA